CCCUCCCUCUUUCUUCAUGCCUAACACAUGCAAGUCGAACGAGACCUUCGGGUCUAGUGGCGCACGGGUGCGUAACGCGUGGGAACCUGCCCUUAGGUUCGGAAUAACUCCCCGAAAGGGGUGCUAAUACCGGAUAAUGUCUUCGGACCAAAGAUUUAUCGCCUUUGGAUGGGCCCGCGUUGGAUUAGCUAGUUGGUAGGGUAAAAGCCUACCAAGGCGACGAUCCAUAGCUGGUCUGAGAGGAUGAUCAGCCACACUGGGACUGAGACACGGCCCAGACUCCUACGGGAGGCAGCAGUGGGGAAUAUUGGACAAUGAGCGAAAGCCUGAUCCAGCAAUGCCGCGUGAGUGAUGAAGGCCUUAGGGUUGUAAAGCUCUUUUACCCGGGAUGAUAAUGACAGUACCGGGAGAAUAAGCUCCGGCUAACUCCGUG
rnacentral:rRNA from 1 species